rnacentral:misc_RNA from 1 species
UCCGGUUUGUCACCGGCAGUCUCAUUAGAGUGCCCAACUAAAUGUAGCAACUAAUGACAAGGGUUGCGCUCGUUGCGGGACUUAACCCAACAUCUCACGACACGAGCUGACGACAGCCAUGCAGCACCUGUGUUACGGCUCUCUUUCGAGCACCCCCCGAUCUCUCGGGGGUUCCGUACAUGUCAAGGGUAGGUAAGGUUUUUCGCGUUGCAUCGAAUUAAUCCACAUAAUCCACCGCUUGUGCGGGUCCCCGUUAAUUCCUUUGAGUUUUAGCCUUGCGGCCGUACUCCCCAGGCGGGGCGCUUAAUGCGUUAGCUGCGGCACGGAUCCCGUGGAAGGGAACCCACACCUAGCGCCCAACGUUUACGGCGUGGACUAC